UACGUAGGGUGCAAGCGUUGUCCGGAAUUAUUGGGCGUAAAGAGCUCGUAGGCGGUUUGUCGCGUCUGCUGUGAAAACUCAGGGCUUAACUCUGAGCUUGCAGUGGGUACGGGCAGACUAGAGUGCGGUAGGGGAGACUGGAAUUCCUGGUGUAGCGGUGAAAUGCGCAGAUAUCAGGAAGAACACCCGUGGCUAAGGCGGCUCUCUAGUACGUGACUGACGCUGAGACGCGAAAGCGUGGGGAGCGAACAGG
rnacentral:rRNA from 1 species